AGAAAUGCAAUGCCACUAAGGUGAUGGAUCCGACUCCUCUCGAAGGAUAAUUAGGCUCUCCUCCCCACUCCUACUCAAUACGUCCAAGGCGUACAGAACGGUAACGUACCACUCCGAAUAUCCAAGCUUGGGUAAACGGGGAAACCCAACC
rnacentral:ribozyme from 1 species